rnacentral:RNase_P_RNA from 1 species
AAAGCGGCUCGGGCGGUCGCGGCGCGUGAGCGCCGAGGAAAGUCCGGGCUGCACAGGGCAGGGCGCUGGGUAACGCCCAGCGGGGGUGACCCCGGGAAAGCGCCACAGAAAACAGACCGCCUCGCGGCAUGCGAGGUAAGGGUGAAAAGGUGGGGUAAGAGCCCACCGCCUGCGCCGGCGACGGCGCAGGGCACGGCAAGCCCCGCCCGCAGCAAGGCCGAAUAGGGAGGCGCUUGAGCGUGGCCCGCGCGAUGCCUCCGGGUAGGCCGCUUGAGCCUGCCGGCAACGGCAGGCCCAGAGGAAUGACCGCCGCCCGCCGCAAAGGCGGGUACAGAACCCGGCUUACAGAGCCGCUUUGCCG